rnacentral:tRNA from 1 species
GGGGUUGUGGCUCAGUGGUAGAGCACUCAUCUGGCAUGUGUGAGGCACUGGGUUCGAUCCUCAGCACCACA